rnacentral:lncRNA from 1 species
CUCUGGGUUGAGACCUUCCCCUAUCUCGGCCUCUAGCACAGCCUCAGCCUCGUCCUCUGCCCUUCGUAGGAGCUGCCACUAGGGGCACGGGCUGCUAAUCAGUGGAGGAAGAAGCACGUGAUCUUACCAUCUGCGAUAGAAUAGAGUGGAAGUUCAAUUAGCAUUAAGAAAUCAAGUCGCACGAUAGAAGGGAAUAGAUGCAAAGUUUUUCUAAACUCGGUAGCCUAUAGGGGAUAAGCACAGACGUCUCCAUACCGAUCCCUUUGACUCUACCCAGCUUGUUCGUGAAUUGUGAGACCUAUGCAACCUAGAGCACUGAUACCAACUUGUCACGACCCAGAUUUUCCACUCUCGGGAGUCGUGAUGGCGCCUACUCAAGAAAUCUAGGCAAGCCAACUAUUGAGGUUUUAACCCAUUAGCAAUCAACCCAUAUCGGAUAUAAACAAUAACUACAGUUAAACAAAUGAAAAGUGCGGAAGAGUUAUAACAAAUUCAAACAAACCAACCAUCUUUCAUCAGGUUUAAAAAUCCUGACGACCAAUACCUCUCUUGUUCUUGGCAGCCAUGCCUGCGUUGAGCUCUCCCCAGCCUUUGGCUGUGGUAGAGACAAAUCAAAACACUACUGAAACUCUAACAAAUUCCAAAUCAACACAGUCCUAUGCAGCACAACUUCAACAAAAUAGUGUGUCCAAAGUUGAGUUAAUUCCUGUUGUUGUUGUGCAUGGAGAUCCAACGAUUGAGUUCACCAUGGACCAGGUUAAUGAAUUUACAAGAUAAGAGGGACUGCAUCAGGCUGUCGUGAUGAAAUUUUCAUACGGCAAACCAUAAUUACAAGAUAUCAGAAAAAAUCUGCCAGCGCAAUUCGAUAUUCAAGGUCGAUGUAAUAUUGGACUGUUGGAAUAUCGUCAUCUGCUGAUCCGUUUUGAUUUAUUCAACGACUUUGUUAAAUUCUUAUCAAGGUCGACUGGAUAUAUGAAAUCAAAAGGUGAUGAAUUUUUCUUUAGAACUUUUCCAUGGUCACUAGGAUUUAAUCCGAGGGAAGAAACUUCAAUGGCAGUCGUGUGGAUUUCCUUCCCAGGUUUUCCUCCAAAUUUCUUUGCUAAGAGAUCACUGUUAUCUAUUGUAUCUGCUGUGGGUAACGUUCUUGCUGUGGAUAAAGCAACUCAGGAGAGAACUCGACCUAGUGCAGCUAGAGUUAAGGUAAUCCUUGAUUUUAUGGACAAACAUCCAAAAAAGUUAAAAUUGUUAUGAAAGAUAGAGUUACUGGAAAAUCCAUCGUGCAUGAACAAGAAAUUGUUUAUGACAAUAUUCCAAGCUAUUGCACGUACUGCAAACAUCAAGGGCACAAAGAAAUUUCGUGUCGAGUGAGGCAGAGACAAGUUGAAGAGGAGGCUGCUGAAGUAGAUACAACAGAUGGGAUUACUCUGCCUGCAACUACCACAAGACUUCAUGAAGCUGUAUCAAAUAGUGGGGCAGGACAAAUUCAAUCUGCUGUUGCCAAUGAUUCUCAUGAUGUAGCUGUAGAUGCGCAUGGUGGUGUACAUAAUCCAGUUGCAGCAACAAUGGUGGAAAAGGAAAGAAUUGGCAUCGACAGAGAUGAUACAGCUGGAAAGGAAUACCAUAAUGUUGUUGUGGGUUCACUUGGUGAUGAUGGUAGCUUUGUGCAGCACAUGGGACAGGGGGGUCG